AUUGAACGCUGGCGGCAGGCCUAACACAUGCAAGUCGAACGGCAGCACAGAAGAGCUUGCUCUUUGGGUGGCGAGUGGCGGACGGGUGAGUAAUGUCUGGGAAACUGCCCGAUGGAGGGGGAUAACUACUGGAAACGGUAGCUAAUACCGCAUAACGUCGCAAGACCAAAGUGGGGGACCUUCGGGCCUCACACCAUCGGAUGUGCCCAGAUGGGAUUAGCUAGUAGGUGGGGUAAUGGCUCACCUAGGCGACGAUCCCUAGCUGGUCUGAGAGGAUGACCAGCCACACUGGAACUGAGACACGGUCCAGAAUCCGACGGGAGGCAGCAGUGGGGAAUAUUGCACAAUGGGCGCAAGCCUGAUGCAGCCAUGCCGCGUGUAUGAAGAAGGCCUUCGGGUUGUAAAGUACUUUCAGCGGGGAGGAAGGCGGUGAGGUUAAUAACCUUGCCGAUUGACGUUACCCGCAGAAGAAGCACCGGCUAACUCCGUGCCAGCCGCCGCCGUAA
rnacentral:rRNA from 1 species